rnacentral:rRNA from 1 species
ACAACCUGCCGCAUGCAGGGGGAUACCGGCUGGAAACAGCCGCUAAUACCGCAUAUGCGCACAGCGCCGCAUGGCGCAGUGCGGAAAGGGAGCAAUCCCGGCAUGCGAUGGGUCCGCGUCCGAUUAGCUUGUUGGCGGGGCAGCGGCCCACCAAGGCGACGAUCGGUAGCCGGCCUGAGAGGGCGGACGGCCACAUUGGGACUGAGACACGGCCCAGACUCCUACGGAAGGCAGCAG